GCAUUGGUGGUUCAGUGGUAGAAUUUUCACCUUCCAUGUGGGAGAGCCAGGUUUGAUUCCUGGCCAAUGCA
rnacentral:tRNA from 1 species